rnacentral:rRNA from 1 species
UACGGUCAAAUCACGGGUUGAAAAACACCGGUUCUCGUUCGAUCACCGAAGUUAAGCAUCGUAGAGCCAGGUCAGUACUUAGAUGGGGACCGCUUGGGAACACCUGGUACUGUAAG